rnacentral:lncRNA from 1 species
AUGGGCUCCAGAUGCACUUGAUGCUGCUGUUCAACUAGUGGAACUUUUACGAGCAGCUGAAGAUUAUGCUUCUGGCUUGCGGGUAUGUUAAGAUUAAAGCAACUGAAGAAACACCUGAUGUCCUUACUAGUAAAAAGGAAGUUCAGAGGUUAACAGGAAGGAUAGCGGCCUCAGGGAGGUUUAUGUCAAAAUCAUCAGAAAAAUGCUUCAAAUUUUUCUCUGCGCUCAAAAAGCAAGACCAUUUCGAGUUUACGAGCAGCUGAAGAUUAUGCUUCUGGCUUGCGGGUAUGUUAUAAAAUUUCAAAUAAAGUAGUUUGACCAAGCUCGUGGUGAGUAUUUGAAUGUUUUGGCUAUCUUUAUCAUUUACUCAGCUUUUCUUUUGAGUUUCUAUGUACAGUGCUGACACUUUUGAACUAUCAUGAUCUAUUGGGCACACGAUGAAUUGUUUACAAACUGAAUUGAGUGAUGUUACAUCUUAAGUACUAUGUGAUGUUUCUACCAACAGCAUUAAUCUUCUAUACAUGUCACCAUUUUAGUGCGCAGGUUUAUACACUUCAUGCAAAUCUAGGCUUUUCUUAGCUUCACUAACUUCCAUUAAAAUCAUGGAGACAAUUACAGCUUUGAAUUGAUUCUGCAAAGGAUUCUUGUUUUUUCU